AAUAGAUACCCUGGUAGUCCACGCCGUAAACGGUGGGCACUAGGUGUGGGCGACAUUCCACGUCGUCCGUGCCGCAGCUAACGCAUUAAGUGUCCCGCCUGGGGAGUACGGCCGCAAGGCUAAAAACUCAAAGGAAUUGACGGGGGCCCGCACAAGCGGCGGAGCAUGUGGCUUAAUUCGACGCAACGCGAAGAACCUUACCAAGGCUUGACAUACACCGGAAACGUCCAGAGAUGGGCGCCCCCUUGUGGUCGGUGUACAGGUGGUGCAUGGCUGUCGUCAGCUCGUGUCGUGAGAUGUUGGGUUAAGUCCCGCAACGAGCGCAACCCUUGUCCCGUGUUGCCAGCAGGCCCUUGUGGUGCUGGGGACUCACGGGAGACCGCCGGGGUCAACUCGGAGGAAGGUGGGGACGACGUCAAGUCAUCAUGCCCCUUAUGUCUUGGGCUGCACACGUGCUACAAUGGCCGGUACAAUGAGCUGCGAUACCGCGAGGUGGAGCGAAUCUCAAAAAGCCGGUCUCAGUUCGGAUUGGGGU
rnacentral:rRNA from 1 species